rnacentral:sRNA from 2 species
AAAUAGGUUUUCUAGGGUUCCGCGUAUUAAACGGACUGGUCCGAGAGAAAACCCGCAAGAAGUUUUUUGCGUCACGGAAGGAUAAAAGCCUGGGAGAA